GACGAACGCUGGCGGCGUGCCUAAUACAUGCAAGUCGAACGCAGUGGGGACGGGUGAGUAACACGUGGGUAACCUCCCAUCAGAGGGGAUAACACUUGGAAACAGGUGCUAAACCGAUACUGAUGGAUGGACCCGCGUGGCAUUAGCUAGUUGGUGAGGUAACGGCUCACCAAGGCCACGAUGCAUAGCCGACCUGGGAGGGUGAGCAGCCACACGGGGACUGAGAGGCGGACCAGACUCAUACGGGGGGCAGGAGUAGGGAAUCUUCAGCAAUGGACGAAAGUCUGACCGAGCAACGCCGCGUGAGUGAAGAAGGUUUUCGGAUCGUAAAGCUCUGUUGUUAGAGAAUCGGUAUCUAACCAGAAAGCCACGGCUAACUACGUGCAAGCAGCCGCGGUAAUAC
rnacentral:rRNA from 1 species